GAUGAAGAACGUAGCGAAAUGCGAUACUUGGUGUGAAUUGCAGAAUCCCGUGAACCAUCGAGUCUUUGAACGCAAGUUGCGCCUCAAGCCAUUAGGUUGAGGGCACGUCUGCCUGGGCGUCACAUAUCGUUGCCUGAUGCCAGUUUCCUCGUGAUGGGUGACUGUGCAGGGCGAAUGAUGGCUUCCCGUGAGCAUUGUUGCCUCAUGGUUGGUUGAAAAUUGAGUCCUUGGUAGGGAGCGCCGUGAUAGAUGGUGGUUGAGUGACGAACGAGACCCAAUCAUGUGAGACCCCUACCGAAUUUGGCCUUCAUAACCCACAUGCGUCUUUGGAACGCUCAUGACGAGACCUCAGGUCAGGCGGGGCUACCCGCUGAGUUUAAGCAUAUCAAUAGCGGAGGA
rnacentral:misc_RNA from 1 species